CAAAAGGGAAACCCGCUGUCCAGUGGCUAUUUCGCAGUUGCGGUAGCCUAUAGUAUUUUAGUGAGCGUGUAGAAAUACAAGUGAAGAUACCUUGGAGUAAAACUGAACCAUAAGACCGUGUAGCCUACUUUUUUUCUGCAAUGGCUGAUCAUCAUCUUUUACAUUAUAGCGACUCAGCUGCGGUUGGGAACCGUUUCGCCCGCAAAGGUGCUCUGCGGCAGAAAAACGUGCAUGAAGUCAAAAAUCACAAAUUUACUGCCAGGUUUUUCAAGCAACCGACAUUCUGCAGUCAUUGCACAGACUUCAUAUGGGGAUUUGGGAAACAAGGAUUCCAGUGCCAAGUGUGCUGUUUUGUGGUCCACAAAAGGUGCCAUGAGUUUGUCACCUUCUCUUGCCCUGGAGCCGACAAAGGCCCCGACACAGAUGUGAGUCCCUGCACUCUCUCUCUCUCUCUCUCUCUCUCUCUCUCUCUCUCUCUCUCUCUCUCUGCUCUCUCUCUCUCUCUCUCUCUCUCUCUCUCUCUCUCUCUCUC